AAAAGCUGUGCUAUGUUACUCGAUGGGGGAUGGACAGUUUUAUUACGUUAUCCAGCCUUCCAGGUGACUACGGUAUGGGUCCAGGUGCUUGUACAGAAGUCGUGGACCUAUUGUCUAACCGUCAUUGUCGCUCGAUAAUGAAGAUCCCCGAAUAAUGGCCUUAUAGAACGAUCCUGACAAUAGGUGAGAGAGUCCGGCCGUGAGACGGUAUUGAACUAACUCUUCUGUUCUCAAUCAAUAUGCAAGUGUCUAGACAUGCACACAGGACCUACAGAAUAUGAGGAAACUCAUUCCUUGUAUUAGAAUUACUGUCUUGCGUGGCUUUAAGCAGCUAUUAACAAACAGGUGAAACACUUUGCGCGGGGAAAUACGUUACAUAUUUCACAUUCGUCAUCAGAUAAUUGACCACCCUCAAGUUAUCCAUUACAUCGCGAUCACUUGCAUUUUUUUUUCUAAUGAAAUAUAUACCUUUUAUGUGCAGUCUGCAUGAACAACAAAGUUGCAAUGAUUUUUGUUUUCCCCAUGGAAGGAUGUAUGUUUCGGAAUAGUGAGCUCAGGCAUGUGUUGACGUGGAAGCUUGUUCGUCAAAGAGUCAAGGACCGCCCUUAAAACGCAACCGAAGACACGCACAGAAAUCGUCCGAAAACUUCCAUGGAGAAGCUGAACCGAAUCGCAGACUACACCUCGUAAAAUCAGUGCGCUCGUCGCCUGCCAUCUCAUGAAUACAUAACAAUCCCAGAAUGCUUUGGGAUGAUCAUGUGUGGUUGGAAUGGCGGUCUGGCUUUUGACAAUGUGUCUGGGAACUAAUGCGUCUGCAUUUCCUCGUAAAAAACGUCUGAGGGGUGCUUUUAUCAGAGGGAGGCUAAAUGGAGGACGAUGGGAAAGCGACGAGGAGUUUUUUUAGAGGUCGCCGGUGCUCGGGACCGAGGCGUCGGUCAAGGAAACGAACUUGUCAAUGCCAUCGCACGCCGACUUUUCAGAACAGUCACAAUCACACCAUGUGCCGUGGAACACACGAAGAGAAUCUAGACGACAGCAAGCAGCCUGUAUGAGCUGUACAUUUAGGGUAACCCUGGGCCUCUCAAACGGGUCACAUGACUAGCCCCGCUCCCAUUUACUAUGAGGACGUGAAGGGUCAAAGUUCGCUUUGAGAUCCCAUUCCAGAGCUGGAAUCUAAUGGAAUUUAUUGUGGAAUAAAUCAGGUCUUAAUGUCUGUUUUAUUUUUAUUGCCAAACAACCCACUAUAGUAAAGAGAAGGCCUUCUAUGGAGCUAUCUGUACAUACCCAAGAAUCUUGGACUACUAUGGAUAUACUCAAAUAGGACUGGAUAAUAGUAAGAAGGUAAGUGGGACAGGGUUUACAUUCCCCCCAUCAGAGAUAAGCAUAGGGGGGUUGCCCCUAAAAUAGUUAAAAUAAAAAAGCCCUAUCAAUAUUGAAUAUAAAUCCCCUCGAGUAGGACUGAAUGAUCGUCAGAAAUUAAGGGGGACAGGGUUUACGUUCUCCCAUUAGAGAUAAGCAUGGGGGGUGCCCCUAAAUAAAAAAUAGCCCUAUUAAAAUUGAAUAAAAAGCCCCUCGAAUAGGACUGAAUGAUCGUCAGAAAUUGAGGGGGACAGGGUUUACAUUAUCCCAUUAGAGAUAAACAUGGGGGGGAGGGGUUGCC